ACCGAAAGAUACCAUUAAAAUGCCACAAGAAGAAUGUUGUUUGGUACUUUUACACAUCAGCUGCUCAUCUUUGCAGGAUUUUCCCCUUCCCAGGGUAAGGCGAGAGAAGAGGAAGUGAAAACAGGAGGGGAGAAUUUUCAUACAACACCUCUCGCCUUGUAGACAACAACCAAAAACCCCCUGGGUUGUGAACAGAGCCUCGUACUUUCUACAGCUCCUCUCCUUCCCUGGAUUACCUCCCUCAGUUCUCAGAGCUCCCCCAGGUGGGUGGCACAAUUCUGAGCUGCCCUCAUUGCUGUUCCCGAGCUCUGGGGCGGGAGGCAAGGGCUGGAACUGCCUAUUGCGGGAGGAGGUAAAUCUUCUGGAGAGGCUCCGGGGCUUUCUGAGCUUCUCUGGGGAGUCUGGGUGGACGCUUCUCCAUACCUGGUGGAGAAAGACCAGAGAGAACCAGGAUCUGAGCUGUCUUCUGGAGGAGCCCUCCAGCCGCGGGCUGCAGCAGAGCUGGGCUCUCCAGCACUGAGUUACCAUCUGCUGCGCUCUCCCAGCCACGGGACUCUCCAGGGUGCUGGGGUUCCCCUACCCCAAAGCUCAGGACCUCUGAGAGCUCCUGAUCGCUGUAUUUGCUGCAGAGAAAGCCGCAGAGCCUCAGCAGGCAUGUCUCAACCUCCCUGGUUGCUUCACUAAAUCUCUGCAACAGCUCGUUCCUACGUCUCUUGUCUCCUAUGUCAGGAGGACCGAGGGCCUGCCUUACCUCCCAGCGGUGCCUCUCUGUCUCCUACCACCCUUUCGGAGCCAGCUCAGACACUGCACUUCCAAAGGCUUCCCUGGUGUCCAGGAAUGUUUGCUUCUCUCUUCUGGCUCGUGGGACCAUGAGCUCCAGGGACCACACGCUCCAGGGACCACGCCUGCAACUCCCGCCGGAGGUGGUCAGUGCAUUUCUCUUCUCUUCCCCCGAGGGCCCAGGUCCCCCUCAUCUCCAAGGGUACCCAUCACAGGGCUCCCUUUUAAACUAUCGGGAAGCACUGAAUGAAUGAACGCACGAAGACCCAUCACCGGCUCCUCCUGCCUUUGCCUACCAUCUUCUUUCUGGAGAAGAGUCAGUUUGUCUGCAUCUGAGAAGAGGUGGGGGAGAGAGCCAGCAAGUCCUCCCCCUUCUGCUCCAGGAUCUAGGAGACAGGGAAUCUCAUCGGGGGAGGGUUAGGGGCCCCCAGCCGGGGUGACUCGGAAUAACAGAGCAGUUUGCUGGUCUGGGCAGAAGGAUGGGGCAGAAAUCCUUACCAACAGGGCCCAGGCACUGGAGGAAUCUGACCGACCUCCAGGCUUUGGGGCUGUGUGUGUGUGUGUGUGUGUGUGUGUGUGUGUGUGUGUGUGUGUGAUCGGUUUCCAGGUGAGACCAGGAAGGGUCUAUGCAGGCGUAUUCCAGCUUCUGGCUUCCUAGGGCAUAGAGGGGGCUGGAUGAAAGGAGCCAAGAUGCUGGGCAACCUGCAGGGGGCCCCCCAUUCGCCCCAGGACCAUGUUUCUAAGUGGCUAAAGUUCAGGGACAGAGUUGAUUCAACCCCCCUUCAAAUCUCCUACAAGCCCAUACCUACUUCCUUCUCCCCAAUCCAGGGAGGGGGGCCCGGUCCCUAAACAGGUGGAGCCUUAAUGUGAUGCGGCUUCCUUGGUGUUCCCUGGAGUCUUGAAACUGGAUGAACAGGAAGCAUCCUGUUUAAAACACACAGAAACUAUCUCACAGCCUGUUCAGAAGGAUCCACAGAGGGGAGGGGAGAACCUGCAGUGCCGUGAGGGAGGGCGCAGCCUCGCCCUGGCACCGGACCCACUUCUGAUGCCCAGAGCAGGGCCCACUUGGCUGGGAACCUGUACCGCUGGCCUCCAUCUCUCCUUAGUCAUCUGCACACACCCAGGGCUGUAGGAAGCUCAGCCCAGCCCGGAGGUUGAAUCCGUCUCCAUCUCUUCAUACUGAUGGCAGCCUGGCAUUGUUAUCCUUCACGGAUCAUCUCUUGGAAGGACAUCAGCCUCUUCUUACAUCUCCCA
rnacentral:lncRNA from 1 species